rnacentral:tRNA from 1 species
GGCUUUUAGUCUUAGUGGUUAAGAGUUCGGCUGCUAACCAAAAGGUUGGCAGUUUAAAUCCACCAGGUGCUC